GAGCGACUGAACUGAACUGAACUGAUUGUACACUGAUCGUUGGACUUUCGGACUAGAGGUGCAGUGAAUUUAUUUGUUCAGAUUUGUGGCUGGUGAGUGUUUUGUUCCUUGAGGUUUUGUUCUACUCCAAGCUCCACUUUGAAGAGUGCUCUGGUAACCUUAGAGUCCGGAGGUCAUUCUGCUUUGCGCUGCGCUGGGGAUGAGAAGGGGAGGCUGAGGUGGGCCGCUCCUGAGCUGAGUGAGUGAGCGUGAAGGCAUGGGGUGGCGUGGGCUCCCCUGACUUCUGAAGGCUGCAGGGUCAGUACAGUGGAGAGAAGCUUUUGAUUUCCUUUCUGUUUUUAAAACUGUUAAUUUUUGGAGACUCCUGAAGAAAGUAUUAUAAUGUGUAAGAUUUGAUGGUGGCUUUCUUUCUUUUUAAAUAACAGGGUAUUGUUUGUGGGUCCGGCCAGCUGUUGUGCUCCCCUCAGGCAGGGAUAGAGGUGGACUCAGGACGUAGUCAGUGUCUGCUGCUGGUGCCGGGACACGUGAGUGAUGGUCCCUGGAGGCUGCCCUGCCUCCUUCCCUGCAGCAAGCUGGCCCUGGUGCUAGGCCAGCCUGAAGGUGGAGCAGCUGAGAAGCAUCACAGUAACAAAGCCGGGGAGGCUUCCAGAAGGAAGUGAGGAGAGCUGUCAGCUCCUGCUCCAGGUCCUUAGGCCCUAGACAGCGACUGCUCUUGGGAAGCUGUUUGGUACUGGGGCAGAUUCUUCCCACGUGGUGCUACUCACCGCCUCCCAGCACUCUCCCUUCCAUUGGGCCACUCUCACCGCACAGAGGUCUUUUGCAGGUGUCCCCUGUGUUACCCAGAGAAGGCAAUGGCACCCCACUCCAGUCCUCUAGCCCGGAAAAUCCCAUGGACGGAGGAGCCUGGUGGGCUGAAGUCCACGGGGUCUCGAAGAGUCAGACACGACUGAGCGACUUCACCUUCGCUUUUCACUUUCAUGCAUUGGAGAAGGAAAUGGCAACCCACUCCAGUGUUCUUGCCUGGAGAAUCCCAGGGACAGGGAGCCUGGUGGGCUGCCGUCUGUGGGGUCGCACAGAGUCGGACACGACUGAUGCGACGCAGCAGCAGCAGCAGCAGCAGCGGCAGCACGUGUUCCGGUUCUUCGCUUGUCCGUCUCCAGCAGCGAGCGCUCUGCUUGAAGCUGGAGGGCUAGGUGCCCCCUUCCCUGCCCCACCACCUUAUAGAGCCGAGUCCCCAAGCUUUUUUGGCAGCAAAGGCUGGUUUUGUAGAAAACAGUGUUUCUGCAGACCGGGGUGGGGGUGGGGUCAGGGUGAUCCAAGCAUGUUCCAUUUACUGUGCGCUUCGUUUCUAACCUGAUGCCACCACGGGUCUGACAGGAGGUGCCGGUCCACGACCUGGAGGGUGGAGACCCCUGCUGUAGAAGACCCAACCCAGGGUCGUCGAGUCUCUCACACCCAGAGCUUGCUGCAAGGGCCUUGUGUCCAUUUGUGCAGCCUUCACACCUUGGGGGAGGGCCUCUUGCUCUUCCCAGCUGUAGACGCAGAAGCCAAGGCCCGGGGGCAGGGCACUUGGUCGGCAGGGUGGCCAGGCCGGGGUUUACAGCUAGCCAGCUGGCUCCCGAGCCCACGCCUGCUGGCCUGAGUCAGCGGCCGUCUGUGGCCAGCACUGAUGAAGCCCCCGCUGUGGGAUGUGGCUGCCCAGCUUUGCGAUUGCCCUAUCCUUCAAAAGCUCGGGAGAGAUCUCCUCAGCAAGAAUUGCAGAAAGUGACCUCUGAAAGAAAAUGAAAAUGAGAUGUCUUUAAAGGAGGUGCUUCUCACAAUGAUGUGAGAUGAGUAACAAGGGUUUCCGAGAGGCCAUUCUCAAAGUCCUGGGAGGACACAACACGGACACGUCAGGUGUCAAGAUGGCCUCUCACAGGACCACGGCCACCCUCCUGCAGGGAAGCUCUGGCUCCGUGCUUCUGUGUGUUCACUGCUUUUCCUGAUUUCCUGGAGGAACAGUGGGAAAGAGAGGAGGGGCUUGUCAUGAACUGGUUCAGUUCAGUUAAGUCGCUCAGUCGUGUCCAGCUCUUUGCAACCCCCAUGGACUGCAGCACGCCAGGCCUCCCUGCCCAUCACCAGCUCCCGGCGUUCACCCAAACCCAUGUCCAUUGAGUUGGUAAUGCCAUCCAACCAUCUUAUCCUCUGUCAUCCCCUUAUCCUCCCGCCUUCAAUCUUUCCCAGCAUCAUGGUCUUUUCAGAUGAGUCAGUUCUUUGCACCAGUUGGCCACAGUAUUGGAGUUUCAGCUUCAACAUCAGUCCUUCUGAUGAACACCCAGGACUAAUCUCCUUUAGGAUGGACUGGUUGGAUCUCCUUGCAGUCCAAGGGACUCUCAAGAGUCUUGUCCAACAUCACAGUUCAAAAGCAUUAAUUCUUCAGUGCUCAGCUUUCUGUAUAGUCCAACUUUCACAUCCAUACAUGACCACUGAAAAAACCAUAGCCUUGACUAGACGGACCCUAGUUGGCAAAGUAAUGUCUCUGCUUUUUAAUAUGCUGUCUAGGUUGGUCAUAACUUUCCUUCCAAGGAGUAAGCGUCUUUUAAUUUCGUUGCUGCAGUCACAUCUGCAGUGAUUUUGGAGCCCGCCAAAAUGGUCUGACACUGUCUCCACUGUUUCCCCAUCUAUUUGCCAUGAAGUGAUGGAACCGGUUGCCAUAAUCUUAGUUUUCUGAAUGUUGAGCUUUAAGCCACCUUUUUCAGUUUCAUCAAGAGGCUCUUUAGUUAUUCACUUUCUGCCAUAAGGAUGGUUUCAUCUGCAUAUCUGAGGUUAUUGAUAUUUCUCCCGGCAAUCUUGAUUCCAGCUUUUGCUUCAUCCAGCCCAGCAUUUCUCAUGAUAUACUUGGCAUAUAAGUUAAAUAAGCAGGGUGACAAUAUACAGCCUUGACGUACUCCUUUCCCAAUUUGGAACCAAUCUGUUCCAUGUCCAGUUCUAACUGUUGCUUCCAGACCGGCAUAUAGAUUUCUCAAGAGGCAAAUCAGGUGGUCUGGUAUCCCAUCGCUUUCAGAAUUUUCAGUUUAUUGUGAUCCAGUUUGUUAUGUUCCACAAGUCAAAGGCUUUGGGAUAGUCAGUAAAGCAGAAAUAGAUGUUUUUCUGGAACUCCCUUGCUUUCUUGAUGAUCCAGCAGAUGUCGGCAAUUUGAUCUCUGGUUCCUCUGCCUUCUCUAAAACCAGCUUGAACAUAUGGAAGUUCAUAGUUCAUGUAUUGUUGAACCCUGGCUUGGAGAAUUUUGAGCAUUACUUUACUAGCAUGUGAGAUGAGUGCAAUUGUGUGGUAGUUUGAGCAUUCUUUGGCAUAGCCUUCCUUAGAGAUUGGAAUGAAAACUGACCUUUUCCAAUCCUGUGGCCACUGCUGAGUUUUCCAGAUUUGCUGACAUAUUGAGUACAGCACUUUCACAGCAUCAUCUUUCAGGAUUUGAAAUAGCUCAACUGGAAUUCCAUCACCUCCACUAGCUUUGUAGUGAUGCUUCCUAAGGCCCACUUGACUUCCAGAAUGUCUGGCUCUAGGUGAGUGAUCACACCAUCGUGAUUAUCUGGGUCCUGAAGAUCCUUUUUGCACAAUUCUGUGUAUUCUUGCCACCUCUUCUUAAUAUUUUCUGCUUCUGUUAGGUCCAUACCAUUUCUGUCCUUUAUCGAGCCCAUCUUUGCAUGAAAUGUUCCCUUGGUAUCUUUAAUUUUCUUGAGAUCUCUAGUGUUUCCUAUUCUAUUGUUUUCCUCUAUUUCUUUGCAUUGUUGCUGAGAAAGGCUUUCUUGUCUCUCCUUGCUGUUCUUUGGAACUCUGCAUUCAAAUGGGAAUAUCUUUCCUUUUCUCCUUUGCUUUUCUAUGCUCUUCUUUUCACAGUUAUUUGUAAGGCCUCCUCAGACAGCCAUUUUGCUUUUUUGCAUUUCUUUUUCUUGGGAAUGGUCUUGAUCCCUGUCUUCUGUACAACGCCACAAACCCUUAUUUAUAUGAACAUCCAUCCAUAGUUCAUCAGGCACUCUAUCAGAUCUACUCCCUUAAAUCUAUUUUUCACCUCCACUGUAAGGGAUUUGAUUUAGGUCAUAUCUGAAUGGUCUAGUGGUUUUCCCCCACUUUCUUCAAUUUAAGUCUGAAUUUGGCAAUAAGAAGUUCAUGAUCUGAGCCACAGUCAGUUCCCAGUCUUGUUUUUGCUGACUGUAUAGAGCUUCUCCAUCUUUGGCUGCAAAGAAUAUAAUUAGUCUGAUUUCAGUGUUGACCCUCUGGUGAUGUCCACAAGUCUUCUCUUGUGUUGUUGGAAGAGGGUGUUUGCUAUGACCAGUGCAUUCUCUUGGCAAAACUCUAUGAACUGUUACCCAGAUUUAAACAUUUUUUUUGUAUAAUCAGUUUCUUAAUCCAUAAUCUAAUCUGUUCCUUUGAAUUAGGCAUUAAUCUUUUUCUGAGGAAAUAGUGCUUAACAAAAUUAAAGGUUCAUCUGCUAAACUCAAGCUUGAGUCUGGGAAGUUGUGUAAAUCAUAUGGGUAUCUGGGUAAUCUGGUAUGGCCAGCCUUCCUAAAUGGGUUUCCAUGGAUAUUAUGAAAGAAAGAAACAUUUAAAUUGGGGAAGGAUAACAAAAACUAAGAGCAUUUGGGCAUCAAUAGCAGGGAUGUUCAGUAUGUUUCACUGACUGUUAGACACGUGAUUUCACAGACAUUAAAAUGAGAGGAGAUGCUGCAUGCGUUUUCAGUCAAGGUCAUUAUUUCUGGAGCAUUGAGUUGUUUCCUGUGGAAAGAAAAAACAGAUGCAGUCUUUAUCAUUCAUCUUUUUUUUUUUUUUAAGUCACAGUGGGACACCUUAUCUGAUUGUUUGAAUCGUUUUCAGUCUGGUGUCUACCUUCCAUUUUAGAAUUCCCAUUUACUUAAUAUUUAUACCUGUGUCACUAAAAAGAGCCUUCAGGAAAGCAUCUUGUAGGGAAGGCCAUCAAACAAGAAAACAAUCUGGUAACAUUCUUGCAGUUUCAUUUAGGAGAUUCUGCCUUUAGGAAAUCAGAGACAGAUGGUUUCCUUAAGAUGGAUGCGUUCGCCGCGCCUGCUGAGCACAGCUCGUUGUCAUGUCUGCAGUCAGGCUGUGCCGCCAGGAAGCUGGACAGAUCCGAGUUACAUAAUCAGGUGCAGGUUCGCAUGGUUCAUGGCAGGGGCAGAUCGUAUCCCUUGACUUUUAAAAUCUCUUGUUUUGAUGGGAAGUUCUGGGUUCAGUUUGUGUCUGCUAUUUAUCAAGUUUGUAGGCCCUUUCUAGACUUCAGCUUGCUUAUCUGGAAAUCACAUAAUAAGAUUUUUGUUGAGAUAAAACAGUGCAGUGCUUUUGAACUUGUAAGGUGGUGUUGGAGUGUUAGGUCCAGCUGUUCAUUAAUUCUCAUGUAUUUUAAGGUGUUUGGGUUUGGUUGUACCUAUUUUUAAACGUGAAAGUAGCAGUUUCUUAUUUUUUCCUGACCUCCCGUUCCACUCACCCAGGUCCCUUCCAUGGGGCCUGACCUCUUUUUUUGUUAUUAUUUAAUGAUCUUUCCCCUCGCUUGCUCUUGGCUCCUGUUUCUUACCCAGUGUAGAAUACCUGUUUCCCCUGCCAUCCUCUCUGGAAGAGCCUGUCUACAGAGCCCAUCCUAUCUGCAAAGACUUCUGUAAGCUGAAGUGGUGUGAAGGGAAGAGGCAGUUGCUUAAGACACAUGUUGCUGAUGGAAGCACAGAGAAGCCGAGGUGGAACCCAGACACUCAGACACAGUCCAGAGCUCCGCCGGCCUGACGCUGAGGUGCUGAGUGUGGUUCCUGGAGAUGGAGCUUGCCGAGCCCCGGCUGCUCAGGGUUCGCUGUCUGUGUGAUCACUUUCUGCAAAACAGUUGCUGAAGGGUUUUUUUUUGUUUUUGUUUUUUUUUGCUAAAGUGAAAAUCUUUGGGUAUCUUUCAGUUAGCAAGGACAGGUUAUUGACGCAGGUCUUUUGUUAAAGUAAAAUAAUAUACAGCAAGCUUUCAAAAAGUGGGGAAUUUCUCGGGAAUUCCCUGGUGGUCUAGUGGUUGACAUUCCAGGCUUUCAUUGCUGGGGGCUCAGGUUUAAUCCCUGGUCGGCGAACUAAGAUCCUGCAAGCCAAGUGGGGUGGCAAAAAAAAAAAAAAAACUGAAGUGGCAGAUUUCUGUACUGCUUUAGCUUCCUGUCCUCCCUCCACACCUGCUCAUCCAUCUGAAUGCAUCUCAGACUCGAUCCAUCUCAUCUCAGCGAGCCACUUCAGACUGGACCCAUCUCACCUCAGCGAGCCACUGCCCAGCCACUCUUCGCACCCAGUGUUCUGUCUCCGAGCCUGACCUUCCUGUCACUUAGCAGGUCGCGGUGUUUGGCCUUGGCUGUGUCCUGCUUGUUCUCCAGUUUUAUCUUACAGGUUCGGCUUGCUCUUCUACCUGGUGUUAAUCAAGAUACAGACUUUGGUAUGAAUCCCUUUCGGCUUUCUGACUAGCUUUGUGCUAACCUGGCAGGUUACCUGCCGUCUGUUCCUCGUGAGUAACAACAGGGGUGCUGUUUCCGGUGACCCUUACAGGCUUGUUAGAUUCCAGAGAACGCAGGGAGAGCUUCGGCAAAUGGCUCACAGUAACUGAUAACUGUGAAGAUGCUGGUGUCUUUAAAAACAGUUUUUAAUACAGUUUUUAAAGGUUACUUUCCGUUUACAGUCAUUACUAAACGUUCACUGUACUCCCCAGAUUGCACAGUGCACCCUUGAGGCUGGCUUACACCGCACAGCUUGUGCCUCUCGCCCCCCCCAGGUCCCCCCGUGACCUCUGCUUUGUUCUGUUAGCUCCUUCAUUUUGCCCCCUUCAUUCGCUUGUGGCUUUUGGAUUCCACGUAUAAAUGAUGACGUGCAGUGACCGUCUGACUUUUCACUAAGCACAGUCCCCUCCAAGGCCAUCUGUGUCGCUGCAGACGGCAGACCCGCCUUCUUCGUGGCCAAGUCAUCGCCACUGCAAGCAUGCACCACGUCAUCUUUGUCCGUGCGCCUAUGAGUGGACACUUGGUUGCUUCCAUUUCUUCUCUAUUGUAGUGACGCUGCCGUGAGCAUUAGGGCGCAUGUAUCUUUUCACGUUAAUGUAUGUCUUUGUCCUUUUCAGGUGUGUGCCCAGUGGUGGGAUUGCCGGACCACGAGACGAGUCGCGCUCUGUGAACAGUGACUGCAGCGCCGCAGCCACGCCUCGACUCCCCCUCGAGCCCAUCGCGGCGCCCGGGACGCAGCAGACACGCUGCGUGCAUGUCUCACGAAGGACCACAGACCCUGAGAAGCCUCACGCUCAGGCACUGGGACUGUAGGACCACAGAGACCCUGAGAAGCCUCACACUCAGGCACUGGGAUUGAGAAAAUCGACUCGCUUGACAGGUCGUCAAGGAUGUUCCUGAGUAAAACUGGCUUCUUCCCUUUCUUGGUGCCGUGGGUGAGGUGAACAGCAGGACUAUGGCCUGUGCUGGACGCCAGCUCCAGCCACUGCUGCUUUUCGUGGUUCGUGCAGCUGACAACACAGUGGAGACGGCAGAGGCGGGGUUCACAGUGUUAUGGAAAGCGUUUUGCCCUCGUAGACCUCCGAGAGCUUCUGGGGAACCCCCAGGGGUCCACAGACCACACUUUGAGAAUGACUGCUUUAAAGCUAGCCUCCAGCAAUAGGAAGAACAGAACAGGGCAGGUUUCGAGAUUAUCUGUUGCCUCUCAUCUUUCCUGGAAUUUGUUGGUUUUGUCUCAGAAUACCAAAGCGGUGCGUUCAUUAUUUAAAGUAACUCAAAUGAUGCAGGGGUAAAAAGUGAUAGCAAGCGUUCCCGUCAUCCCUCCCCAGAGGUGACCACCCUGAGCAGGGUGCAGGCAUGUUUUAGACCACUUCCUGUUAGCGUGCCUCUGGGCGCUUUUGCUUCAGGGGCUGGUGUGUGUGAGCUGCGGUUCCCAAGUCCCUUGCACACUGUGCAUCCUGCUCUUGGUGGCGUUCCACUGCUGCCCGUCUGCGUCCCCAGUGGGUGAUGUGAGGUGUGCGGUGCCGGGCUUGCUUCUGAGCUCUGCGUGCCCUCUCCCCACCCGCCCUGCACGCGGCCCCUGGAGCUGCGAGGGCUCCUGAUGCUGUGUGUACAGGCGCCCACUGUGGAUCUCAGAAGGUGUGGUCACUGGCCCGGGACACACGGCUGGUGGUGCCGAGGCCAGGGUUCCAGCCCAGCUGUUCUGGGGCCAGAACCCAGCUGCUGCUGCUGCUGCUGCUCAGCCACUCAGUCAUGUCUGACUCUUUGUGACCCGCCCUGGACUGCAGCAUACCAGGCUCCUCCAUCCUUCACAGUCUCCCGGAGUUUGCUCAGUCGUGUCCAUUAAUGCUAUCCAGCUAUCUCCUCCUGUGCCACCCUCUUCUCCUCCUGCUUUCAAUCUUUCCCAGCAUCCAGGUCUUUUCCGGUGAGUCAGCUCUUAGCUUCAGGUGGCCAAAAUAUUGGAACUUCAGCAUCCGUCCUUCCAAUGAAUAUUCAGGGUUGAUUUCCUGUAGGAGUGACUGGUUUGAUCUUCUUACUGUCCAAGGUACUCUCGGGAUUCUUCUCUAACACCACAGUUCAAAAGCAUCAGUUCUCCAGUGCUCAGCCGUCUUUAUGGUGCAACUCUCACAUCUGUACAUGACUACUGGAAAAGCCAUAGCUUUGACUAUACAGAUGUUUGUUGGCAAAGUGAUGUCUCUGCUUUUUAAUACACGGCUAGGUUUGUCAUAGCUUUCCUUCCAAGAAGCAAGCACCUUCUGAUUUCAUGGAUUUUCAUGGUUAAAAAUGGUUUAAAAAGCUAUGCUUUCUUGCAUAGCCCAAUUGGACCUUUUCUGAUGGUUCCACAGUAUUUAGUUGGAUGAAUUACUGAUUUAUUUAACAAGCCCUCUGUGACUGGGUUCCAGAUUUUGCUGUUACAGAAGUUGCUGUAUUAAAGAGACAGUCCCUCCAUCUGCCCUGCAGGCAUGUCUGUCUUCCGACUCAGGACACUCACUCAGGCCUUGGGCGUUACCCCUCCGCGUGGCCCGGGUUGUGCUCCAGAGACGCUGCUCACCUAAACCUUCACUGCGCAUGCCGAGAACCUCCGUCUUGUUCAUCGUUGCUAUUUUAAUGUCAACUUUAAUGUUGUAAUUUGCAUUUCCUUACAGUUACACAAUUGAGAUCUAUUUCCAUUCCUUCCAUGAAUUGUCAGAUUGUAUCUCUUGUCCAUUUUUCUGCUGAGUUUUUAAAAAAUCUUUAUUUAAAAGCUUUUUAUGCAUUAUAAAGAGUAAUCUCUGAAUAUUUUUUGAUUUUUAAUUUUUCAACGAUACUGUAUAUAUGUCUUGUAAAAGUGGAUUUUUUUUGUUGCUGCUGUUGGGAAUUAAGAAAAAGCUGAGAUGCUUGUUUGGGUCAGUUAACGGUGCAGAAGAGGGACAAUGCGUGGACCAAGAGCGACUCACAGUAGCAGGAGGUCAGGGGCGACCAUGGAAAUAGGAGAGCCUGGGACCUUCAGGGCACCUGGUGAGGACGUCACUGAGGCUGGAAACAGACUCCAGCCCAUUUCGUCUAGCUCUCCAGAGAUGGAAAAGUGAAAGUGAAGUCGCUCAGUCGUGUCCAACUCUUUGCAACCCCAUGGACUGUAGCCUAUCAGGCUCCUCCGUCAAUGGGAUUUUCCAGGCAAGAGUGCUGGAGUGGAUUGCCAUUUCCUUCUCCAGGGGAUCUUCCUGACCCAGGAAUCGAACCCAGGUCUCCCGCACUGCAGGCAGACGCUUUACCGUCUGAGCCACCAGGAAAGCCGAAGCCACAGCUGAAAUGCAGGGGUGUGAAUUCUGCAUCUUGAGCUGCGCUUAGUAGAAUGCUGGCUCAUAGGAAGUACCUUAAUACAUGGUGGCUUCUUAGUGAGUCAUGAGGGUACCUUCCCCAGAGGUAGUAAGUUCCCUGAGAAAGAUGUGGAAAAUUUAGGUGAAAAAAAGAAAUGAUGAGUCCUCAUUUUUAACCAUAUCUGUAAGCAUGUCAUUCACUUUUUAAAAGGGGUGAGAAAGUUAAUACAGAUCAUCAAAGAAAGGGCAUUAAUGAGCAUAAACAUUUUCAUUAAAGCAGUGAUGAGGUUUUAUUUUUGCUUUACAUUUCUGGAAAGAGUGGGCUUCCCUGGUAGCUCAGCUAGUAAAGAAUCUGCCUGCAAUGCAAGAGACCUCAGUUCGAUUCCUGGGUCAGGAAGAACUGCUGGAGAAGGGAUAGGCUACCCACUCCAGGGUUCUCGGGCUUCCCUGGUGGCUCAGCAGGUAAAGAAUCCGCCUGCGAUGUGGGAGACCUGGGUUCAGUCCCUGUGUGUGGAAGGCCCUCGGGAGAAGGGCACGGCCGCCCGCUCCGGUAUUCUGGCCUGGAGAAUCCCAUGGACGUGUAGUCCAUGUGUAGGCCGUGGGGUUGGAGAGUCGGAAACGAUUGAGCGACUUUCACUUUCUGGAAAGAGUAUCUUGAACUCAUUUUUCUGGAGGGCAGUUUCAUGUUAUCUGUCAAACUUUAAGCAAGGGUUGGGAGCAUAUGGCUUCGUUACCGGAAUAUGUCAGCAUUUCAUGAAGACAUAUUUAGAGUUGUGCAUUGCAGCAAUGUAAUAUCUGGAAAAGCUUACGUGUGCCACAGUCAUGAUGUGAUCAAACGCUGUGUGCCACACCCAUGCUGUGGGUUAAGGGGCCCGUGCCUGUCGGAAAGCAGCUUGUGGAAUGCUGGGCGAGUUGGGUGAGAGGCAGUGCACAGGUCAGUGACCCCGUGUAAACUGCGGGGGUGCAAAUGUCGGGAAGGCGCUGGGUGGCUGGCGUCUGGGGACCCGGGGCUGAGGGCUCGGGUUUGCAGCACAGAGGGGCUCUGGCUUCUAUUCUGCACUGCCUUGUAUUAAUGUUCCACGCUGCGGAGGCGCCGUUUGUGAUGAUACAAAGGCCAGUUAAGAGGAGGGAAAGACUAGCAUUAUAACGAUGGAGAAAGGUUCCUCUUCCUGCUGCUUAUGAACACAUACUGUUGAGACUGCCACUUGUCACCCUUGACAUGGUAAGGUUUUUGAUCUUGAGGGUUUUGGGUUUUGUUUCUUGGAGUCUAGUUGAUUUACAAUCCCAUGUUAGUUUCAGAUGUACAGCAAAGUCAUUCAGUUCUGUGUAUUUUUUCCCAGAUUAUUUUCCAUUCUAGGUCAUUACUAUAAGAUGCGAGAUACUGGCUAUAGGUGUGCUACACAGUAAAUCCUGCUCUUCCCUGUUUUGUGUGUAGUAGUUUGUAUUCGUUAACCCUGCUUUUCCGAGUUUUAGUUCUGCCCCAGGUAUCUAUAACAACAAGAUAGAUGCCCAUGAACACGUCUAUUACUGAAGCUCUAGUGUUUGCAACUAGGUGUGAAACAAGCAAAAUGAUAAGCCUGUUCGUAGCGAUUGUUGGAAGGGGGCCUUCGGGGCCUGCGUGCGCCAGUGCGUUUGUACACAGACAUCGCUUUAUUAACCGUGGGGGCUGUUUCUGGCUUUGUUAACAGCCACUUGCACUGACCUGGGAAUCUCCACGUUUAAAGAAAUGUCGUAAUCUCAUUGUUUUUCUGAUGCGCCUUACAUAUAGGAGAAAUAUUUUAAAUCUUGAGACCAUCAUUUGCCACCUCACAUUUUAAUAACUAUAGUUUGCUUUUACCUGGCUUCUGUAAUCAGAUUAAAUUCAUUUUGGAAAUUAAAAUUUUAUUGGUGGUAUUAUUUUGUUAGUAUUUAGUUUGUUUAUUUUGAUUUUAGAGCUCUCCUAAAAGCUACAGUGGAUAUUUCUAAUUUUAAACUCAUACAUAUUUACAUAGCUUAAUGAAAAUAAUUUUUCUCACUGCUGGCUGUCAUGGAAUUUCU
ensembl:lncRNA